ensembl:rRNA 5S_rRNA 5S ribosomal RNA
GGUUCUGGUCAUACCACCCUGAACAUACCUGAUCUAAUCUGAGUUCAGAAGCUAAGCAUGGGCAGGCCUGAAUAGGAAGUGGAUGGGAGAUUGCCUUGGAAUCUGGGGUGCUGCAAGCU